UCCGUGCCAGCAGCCGCGGUAAUACGGAGGGUGCAAGCGUUAUCCGGAUUUAUUGGGUUUAAAGGGUCCGUAGGCGGAUCAUUAAGUCAGUGGUGAAAGCCGACAGCUCAACUGUCGAACUGCCAUUGAUACUGGUGAUCUUGAGUACGGUUGAAGUAGGCGGAAUAUGACAUGUAGCGGUGAAAUGCUUAGAUAUGUCAUAGAACACCGAUUGCGAAGGCAGCCUACUAAGCCGUUACUGACGCUGAGGGACGAAAGUGUGGGGAGCGAACAGGAUUAGAUACCCUGGUAGUCCACACCGUAAACGAUGAUUACUCGGUAUUGGCUUUAUUGUCAGUGCCCAAGCGAAAGUGAUAAGUAAUCCACCUGGGGAGUACGGUCGCAAGAUUGAAACUCAAAGGAAUUGACGGGGGCCCGCACAAGCGGUGGAGCAUGUGGUUUAAUUCGAUGAUACGCGAGGAACCUUACCAGGGCUUAAAUGUAGAACGACCGGGGUGGAAACACCCCCUUUUUCGAACGGUCUACAAGGUGCUGCAUGGUUGUCGUCAGCUCGUGCUGUGAAGUGUCGGGUUAAGUCCCAUAACGAGCGCAACCCCUAUUUCUAGUUGCCAGCGGUUCGGCCGGGGACUCUAGAGAAACUGCCAGCGUAAGCUGUGAGGAAGGUGGGGAUGACGUCAAAUCAUCACGGCCCUUACGUCCUGGGCCACACACGUGCUACAAUGGUGGGGACAACGAGUUGCCAACCCGCGAGGGUGAGCUAAUCUCUCAAACCCCAUCUCAGUUCGGAUCGGAGUCUGCAACUCGACUCCGUGAAGUUGGAAUCGCUAGUAAUCGC
rnacentral:rRNA from 1 species